AUUUUAUUCACUGUUUGUAUAUGAAGCAUUGCAGUUCCAAAACUCUGUACCUAUGAGUUGUAUUCCAUUAAGGUGAUUUGAUGUAAUUUCGCUAUGUGUAUGCAAGUAACUGAACUCCACUGUAUAACUCUGUUUAUAUUCCUUUCUGUGAAACUCUGUAAGCAAAUGUAUUUUGUAUUCCAUGUCAUUUAUAGUUUUCACACUGCUAAAGAUAUUGACGUUGGUGGUGUUCAGAGCAUUCCUGCACACUUCUAUGCAAAGAAUAAAAUCCUGCACCCGUCAGAAGCUCUCUUCUCCCUUCUUUAUUGAUGCCAAAGGACUGCUACACACACUAAUUCUCCAUCACUCUGGCACACUCGCCC